rnacentral:rRNA from 1 species
UACGAAGGGGGCUAGCGUUGUUCGGAUUUACUGGGCGUAAAGCGCACGUAGGCGGAUCGAUCAGUCAGGGGUGAAAUCCCAGAGCUCAACUCUGGAGCUGCCUUUGAUACUGUCGAUCUGGAGUAUGGAAGAGGUGAGUGGAAUUCCGAGUGUAGAGGUGAAAUUCGUAGAUAUUCGGAGGAACACCAGUGGCGAAGGCGGCUCACUGGUCCAUUACUGACGCUGAGGCGCGAAAGCUAGGGGAGCAAACAGG